rnacentral:tRNA from 1 species
AUCUGGCUGGCUCAGCUGGUAGAGCAUGUGACUCUUGAUCUUGGGGUUGUGAGUUUGAGCCCCACGUUGGGUG